rnacentral:rRNA from 1 species
GCUCGUGUCGUGAGAUGUCGGUUAAGUCCGCUAACGAGCGCAACCCUCGUCGUAUGUUAUAUGUGUCAUACGAGACUGCCGGUAAAAAGCCGGAGGAAGGUGGGGAUGACGUCAAGUCAGCAUGGCCUUUAUAUCCUGGGCUACACACACGCUACAAUGGUCGGUACAAUAGGUUGCCAAGCCGCGAGGCGGAGCCAAUCCAAAAAAGCCGGCCUCAGUUCAGAUUGUAGGCUGCAACUCGCCUGCAUGAAGAUGGAGUUGCUAGUAACCGCAGGUCAGCAAUACUGCGGUGAAUACGUUCCCGGGUCUU